AAUGGGCGCAAGCCUGAUCCAGCCAUGCCGCGUGAGUGAUGAAGGCCCUAGGGUCGUAAAGCUCUUUCGCCUGUGAAGAUAAUGACGGUAGCAGGUAAAGAAACCCCGGCUAACUCCGUGCCAGCAGCCGCGGUAAUACGGAGGGGGUUAGCGUUGUUCGGAAUUACUGGGCGUAAAGCGCGCGUAGGCGGAUUAGUAAGUCAGAGGUGAAAUCCCGGGGCUCAACCCCGGAACUGCCUUUGAUACUGCUAGUCUUGAGUUCGAGAGAGGUAAGUGGAAUUCCGAGUGUAGAGGUGAAAUUCGUAGAUAUUCGGAGGAACACCAGUGGCGAAGGCGGCUUACUGGCUCGAUACUGGCGCUGAGGUGCGAAAGUGUGGGGAGCAAACAGGAUU
rnacentral:rRNA from 1 species